UGCUUCAUAGAAUAUAAAAGAGAGAUUUUUAAUUUAUUUUCUUUUUUCUCCUUUUAAUUGAUGGUGAGGCACGUGGAAAGGCUUUCACAUCUACAUGUUCACUGUAAAGUACUUCCUAUAUAACAUAAUCAAAUUUCCAAGCAAACCCCCAAAACCAUAAGAGUUCUUCCGACUAUUUCUUCCCUUGUCAACAAAUUUGCAUUUUCAGUACACAUGGCCUUAAGAUACAACAUCAAUAACAUAACAACCGACACUCCUGAAUGGAUAUUCAAUGUCCCAAUCGUCGAUAUUAAUCGAGAGAGAAAAAGUCUAGAGAAGCAAAUAUGAUUCCAAAAUCUCAUUUUAGAGGAUAAGCAGGUACUGCCGCCUAUAUAGUCAUAUUGUUUACCUAUAUCUUACGAACAAUUUCCAUUUUAUAGGGCCAACAAAUUAGGGAGACUGUGUAGGUACUGCCUCCUAUAUAGUCAUAUUAUUUACCUACAUCUUCCGAACAAUUUCAAUUUUACAAGGCCAACAAAUUUGGGCGGCUGUGUAUGGCGAUGACGUUACCUAUUAUGCUGACAAGUUGAUGCUUUCCAACACCUAAUUGAUCUUGGUUGAAUGGGUAAGGAUCUCGCCGAAAUCAUAUGGGUAGACAAUACAUAUCUUUUAUUGGAUACUUGAUAAGAAAAUAAUAGAUGAACUUAUCAACCCAAAUAAUGAGCUUGAAAAUCCCCUGCCACUACCGACCAAGUUGAAUGUCACGCCUUUAGGUAAUAUUUCUAACCUGAAUCUCGCUCCCUCUAUAGAAAUUAGUAUAUUAUUCUUUCCAAACAUUGUUUUGCUGAAUUUAUAUGCUUGCAAAUAUACAUGGUAAACAUAUUUUCUUAUUUGUUUCUAUCAGAUAUUCUAGGAGUUGUUAUCCAUUGCGGCCCUGAGAAAUAUGCAGGUCAUACUCAAAAUAAGUGUUGUGAGAUUACCGUGGCUGACGAUCAGUAUAUAUAACCUACUACUUGCCUUUAAGUAAUAGAUUUCGACACAAAUGGUCAUUACUUUUUACCUUUUUCAGGAGCACACAGUUUUUGCUGACUUUAUGGGAUGACUUCGUAGAAAUUAAAGGGUCCAAAUUGCAAGUUAAAGUGGUAAAGAAAGAGUACCCACUCAACUUGGAAGGAACAUAGCAAUUUCUACUUAUCAUGGUUUAUCACUGCAGACCAAGUUCAGCACAACGAUAAACAUUGAUGGUUCCUACCCACAGGUAUUAGAGUUCCUCAAGUGGUAUGAAAUUUUUAUAUUCCUUCUCAGCUUCAGUAUGACUUUAGGGAACACAAAGGCUAACUUAUUUGAUCUGUUGAUAGAGCCAAAUCAAAUAAAGGCAUUCUUACAAGUCGUGCAUUAGGUAUGCUUGCAGGCAGUGCAUCAGGCAACUCCUUCACGUUGUUCGUCCCUUCAUCCUUACUCUAACUACCGAUCACGUUACCUCUAUUGCAAAAAUGACUUCACAAACUUCCAUAAGUAUUUCCAUUAUCUACACUUGCUUAAUUUACUCAUGACGUGGACUAAGCAUUUAAUACUUAUGCUCUUCUUGAAAGGUUGGAAUUUUCAAUAUUGAAGCUACACUAUCAAUAUCAAAUGACUUUUAAAAGUUUUGUAUGUUAGAAUGUUUAGGCUGCAACCAAAAAAAAAUGCACAAAGGACAGGAAGCCAUUUGAUUGUCCAAAGUGUGAGCAAAAAAUGACAUUAGUGCCUCAGUAUUAUAUUGAUUCAAUACACAUAAAUACUACUUAUGCAAAACAUAAUAUAUACCUCUAGUAUUAAUUUACUAUGCUUAUAGUUGUAUGUUCCAAAUUGACCUUGUUUAUGGUAGUGGCUAGGCAACAACAUCGAUAUCUGGAGCAUUUGGUGGAAAAAUACUUUCCAUGAUAGUAGAGGAUAUAUUCGACAUAACCUAUGUAAAGGUGAUGCUUUGUUUAUAUGUCUCUUCAAUUUUGUUAAUUCAACCUCGUCACUCACGCAUGCUUUCAGUAUUAUAACUAGCUCCUAUUUACAGCUCCAACUCCUUCGCACUUACCACAUCCAAAAGAUGUUAUCCAAUAAAAUAUUCUAUAUUCAGUUGAAGAAGUCAUCCUCGGUAAGUGCUAAUAGUACCUAUAACGCCCUGAGUUUGUAUCCUGGAUGCUACACGGUGCUUACGACCCCAAAAGACCACAAGCUAACCCAUGACUGAUAUCUGCUGUGAGCACUGAAUAAUAUUACUGAAAUAAAUACGGAAUUAGGCUGAAUU